rnacentral:lncRNA from 1 species
CUCAGUUUACAUUACAUCAUGUCCACUCUAAAAUGCUAAGCUAUUACAUAAGCCUGACAUUUACCCUUGACGUCUUCCUGGACUACCUCUGACCUGCAAACCUAGGGUUAGGGGAGAGGGGUGAGCUAAAAAGCCCAGUGAGUAGAAACAAUAAAAACAGUUCAUUAAUUACAUGCUUUUAUUAAAUGCGUCACAGCACAAACAAUUCACAUCACGGAUUGGACAUGACCUCCAAAGCUCCCUCUAUCGGUGCCCGGCCCCCAAAAGAGCUCACACAGGACUUUCAUUACAUAACAUGGUGCCCAGCCCCCGAAGGAGCUCACACAAGACUUUCUACAUGGUGCCCGGCCCUCAAAGGAGCUCCACAGGACUUCUCUUAUCAUGACAGAUCGUGGGCCAUUGGGGUCGCCUUGGUCCAUCCACAUCAACAGUAAAUAAUGCAAUGUGUCAUAUUCGUUUGCAAUCAACCUAUUACAUAUAAACAUGAUGCAUGAACAUGCUUUAGGCAUUUGAUUUCGUAAAAUAAAAGAUUAAGUUUAGUUCUACUCACCUCUGGCAGACGCUGGACUGACUCUGCAACAGCUAACACUGAUGGCCUUCUCGGUCCCUCGGGUCCGAUCCUACACAGGUGGACUUGAAUGAGAUGCCAAACACACUCUAAACAACUCAUAAACAACUCCCCAAAAACUCCCUAAAACAUCACCAAAGCAUGCAUAGAAAACGCCCAUAAAAGGGCUGGACAGAGCACUUUCGGCGGCACCUUCGGCGGUCGAAAGUCUCUUCCAGAGCCGAAAGCCAUGCAGCUUCGGGGGCACUUUCGGUGGCCGAAAGUCCUUCCAGAGCCGAAAGUCUGGCACCUUCGGCGGCAGGUUCGGCGGCCGAAGCCUCUCACAGAUCCGAAAUUCCUGGCCUUCGGGGGCACGUUAGGCGGCCAAAGCUGCCUUCCAUGCAGGGUUCGGCGGCCGAACUUGGUCCCCUCUAAACAGCAGGUCCGAAUCUGUCACAAGCAAAACCAACCUCCAAACCACCCAAAACCUCACAUGCUCUCACCCAAACAUGCAAAUACACUCCCACAUGCAUAUAGGGGCAUAAACUAACUUAAAACCCCAACACAAACAUCACAUUAACAUACAUUGGGCAUAAAACCCACAUAAACCCUAACAUGCAUAUCUACCCAUACUCAACCAUCAAAACUUCUUUAAACUUACUUAAAACUUCAUUAAAACACAAAGGAAGCAAAGAUCUACACUUACCUCUUGAAGAUCGAGGGUUGGUGCGAUCCCUAACUUGGAGAUGUGGAGGAAACAAGCUCCUUGGGUCUCCAAGUUCCAAAACUUCGAUCUAAGCUUUAAAACUCUUCAAAACAACCAUGAAACUCAUAAAAACAUGAAGGAGUUGAAGAAAAAGCAUGAAAACGACCAAAGGAGGACAUGAAUACACCUGAGCUCGAGAAUAGGGAGAAAACUCGCCCAUUUUCGGUCUGAGGGCCUUUUAUAGGUGGCCGGUCAACGACCUUCGGCGGCCUAAGUUGCUCCCGCAACUCCACCACCUUCGACAGCCACUUCGGAAGCCUAACCUGCCUCCUAAACCAACCCAUGUUCGGCAGCCGAACUUGGGGUUCGGCGGCCGAACCUGAUCUCUGCCCUCAAGACUUUCGGAAGCCUAAAGCACUCCCGAAACAGCACUAUGUUCAGCGGCCGAACUUGAGGUUCGGCGGCCGAACCUGGGUUCCUCCUCCUUGGCCUUUUCUUUUCGAAACUCAAUUUCUUUUCCAUUUAAAACCAUAAAAUCAUGUGAAAACAUUUUAAAAAAAUAUAUUUUACCCCUCUAGAAGACUCUGACAUCUUCAAAAUUCCAGAUUCCAACGGAGAUUCCGCCGGAAGGUAGGGAUUCCGAUGACGGAAUCUAGCCGGGUAUUACAAUAUGAGUUAUAGUGGAUUAUCUAUUUGCUCAAGGAAUUUCUUAUCAAACAUUCUCUUCACAUUCCUCUUCACUACGACAAUAAAGUGGCUCAAUACAUCGCUGCUAAUCCAGUUUUUCAUGAACAGAUGAAACAUUUUGAAAUCGAUUGCCACAUUAUGCGCAAUCUGGUCUCAUUAGGCCUUCUUCAAACUAAACAUGUCCUUUCAAAACAACAAAUAACGGAUUUGUUUACUAAACCCCUCGAAAGAUUAGAGUUUUACUUCCUAUUGUCCAAAAUAGGUCUCCAGAAGCUUUAGUUGUAACGCCCCGAAAAUCGGACCGCUACCAGCGCUAGGAUCCGGGUCGACUUAAGGCCGCCGGGACCCGUAGCAAGCCUGACAUAAGACCUGAAAACCUGUAUAAUCCCAUACAUGAUCAACAACAUACAUAAAAAUUAAAACUUUUCUUUUCAUAAACAUCCACCAAACUCAACCUGUGCAUACUCUGAUCAUAUACAUANNNNNNNNNNNNNNNNNNNNNNNNNNNNUCCUCCAAUGCUAUUUUCAUGCAAAAACUCAUUUUAUUUAAUACUUAAAACCAUUAAAAACAUGAAAACAUUUCAUAAAAACAUGAUUCUACCCUUCUAGAGGUCUCCGACAUCCGAGAUUCCACCGGACGAUAGGAAUCCCGAUACCGGAGUCUAGCCGGGUAUUACAUUAGUGGCCUCCAUCUUAAAGGUGGGCUAAAAGAUAAAAGGGUGUGCAAAGGAUUAUAUUAAAUGGUAUGGUUUGGAGUCAAAACAUUGUGUAUAGAAAGUUGAAUUUGAAUAGGCUUGAGCUCUUUGUUGUAUAUUGUUUUAGUCUUAGUGUUUUAGUGUAACAAAAUAAUAAUAGAUAUAUAUACUCUAGAAUUUUCUUUUUUGUGUGUAAAUAUCUCAACAAAAUUUAUCAAUAUAUAUGUAAUUUUUAUUUAAUUACACAUUAUUUUGUUUGCUCACAUAUCACAUAUAUCUAUUGAAAGGAGCGGCUUGUGGAGCACUUCCUUCUCAUUAGAAUCUAUCAUUUUUUGAGGUUGUUCUAGAGCUUAGCCCGUAAUCCUUUGAGUUGAUUGUGAAUUUUUUUUUCAUUUUCUUUAUGUGACAUUGAGGUUCAAUGCUUGGUUUUGAUUCCUCAAUGGUCUUCAUGUAUUGGUUGGCAACUCAAAAUCUUUAUGCGAGAUGUGUUUAGAGGCUUUCUAACCCAGAAAACUGCAACACACCUUCUCAUCCCUGUAUGUGAGGUUGUAUAUGGUUAUUAGAUUUUUUUUUCUUUUUUUGUUAUCUUGCCUACAGUGGUAGGCUACUUGGGUUAUCUUUUCUCUUAAACUUUAUUUGUAUAGUCUUUAUGGUUAUUGUUAGAGAUCCAUUCAAGCCCUAGCGGUGGUUUUCUCCUUUGAUAGCCAAAAGUUUUCAACGAGAGAGUCUUGAGGAUCCCUACAACCGAGUCUUUCCUGGAUUAGAUUUUUGUUUCAGAUAGUUAACCCUCUAAAGUUCGUAUUGGCCUUCACUUUAUUCCUUUUGUUAUAGACCUUAGUUUUACAUUAUAUUUAGGUUUUGAACUUUUAUAUUUAAUCAAAUACUAUUUUUGCGAAAAUCAAAAAGAAAAAUUUAAAAUUUAAAAACUAAAUACUUAAAAUAAUGUUUUUCAAAGAUGGUUUUUCAUUAAAAAAAAAAAAGAAAUUGCGAACAUAAUUUCAUAUUUCUUAUUAGAGAAAAGUAUAAAAAAAUAUAAUGUGAUUUCAUUAAUUUUUCACCUCAAAUCUGUAAUUGAACUUGUAUUAAAAUAAUACCUCAUAAUAUGAUUUUUACAUCAGAUUUUCUAACAUCAUCUGAAAAUUCUACUGUUUAUUAAUGGCGUGAUAUUACGCGAUAUUAUUUUAACAUAAAUUGAAUCACAAAUCUUAAAGUGAAAUUAAGAAAAAUUAAAUAGUAUUUUUUUAUAUUUUUUCUUAAAAAUAUUUAAAAAUAUUAAUUAAUAAUUAUAUUUUACUUAUAAUGUUAACAUUUUUUGAUAAUAUCUAAAAAUUAUUAUUGUUAAUGGUAUAAUAAUAUAAAAUAUUAUUUUGAUAGCAGUUAGAUUUCAGAUACCCAAACCACAGUUGAUCCUAUAAGGGAAGACUAGGCUACAAACCUGUGAGAGCCCAACACGCCAAUCUACCCAUGUAAGUGCGGUCUAGACCCAUGCCAACAGGACGGACAGAGCAGGGUUUGGAUCUAAUUGAGAGGGAUCUAGCUCAACUGACUUGAUGGGUCAGUAGGGCAACAGACCUCUAUACAUCCGGGAUCAUAUUAACACGGGUGCCAAAAGGAAUUAAAUGGCCGCAUAACGAUGGAAAAAGAGGCAGUACGUUCAUACAUACAGCCAUGCGUGACAACGACAUGUUAUACUAUAAUAGGAUGGUAGUUACACGUCACUAAAGGACAAAAGAGAAAAAAGAAUAAAGGAAGGGGACAUGAGCAAUUCAGGCUUAGUGGACACACACAUACCCUAAUCCAACCUUCUAUUGGAUCUUAGAAUAUCAAUUGAUGUUGUCUGUGGAAAUAAAGAAGAUCUUUUCAUCACCGAAGUUCUCAUCCUCAUCAUACCCACUAAGAUCCAUAUGGUCAAUCACGGCAAAAACCACACCGGAAACACCCCAAAUGACCUGAGUUCUACUCAAGAAGGACCACCGUUUUCAUUUUCCAGCCCUACCGCCCCACUAAACCAACCACCUUUGUUUAACCUUUCACCAAACUCGGCAGGGACCAUGCCUCGAACUACCCUAUCUCACCAUGAGUUACAAAAUAUGGCUUUCCAACUCUAAAACACUACUCAUUGGCUAGGGCAGAUGCUGCAGCAAAGAGGACUCAAUACCCCAUUGAGCAUACCAUUAGUAGCUGAAGGAUUCAAUGUCAAUGAGUCCCAACCCACACUAAACCGUAAAACCCCUCAACAAAGCAGUAGGAGGACGAGUGAUGUAGACAGAGGGGCCAGCAGGAGAAACAAGCCUAUGGCCAGAAUAAAAGGCCGAGUAGUAAGGGAGCUCAUCGAGAAUGAUGGAGUCAAAAGCUAUUCUUCUGAGUCUGUAGAAAGGUCAGAAAGUGAAGAGCUGCAAAGAAACUAUCGCCUAAAAAAAAGGCCAAGGAGAGAAGAGGUAGAUGUAGAUCAGAAGCUAGAAAGGCUGAAGGAGCAACUCCUAGCAGAGAUGGAGGCGCAGGACAACAGUAGCCCCCUACUAUCAACUUUAUCCUCGUUCGUGAGAUGGAUACAGCAGGAAACCAUCCUUAAAAAGUUCAUGAUGCUGACAAUCACCGCAUACAACGGUACAGGGAACCCCCGAGAGAACGUCUUGAACUACAAGUCGUUCAUGGAGCUUCAGACUCACUCGAAUGCCCUGAUGUGUAAAUUCUUUCCCACCACCCUUACCAAACCGGCCCAAGCAUGGUUCAAUAGUCUGGAAGCAGAAACCAUCAAAAGCUUUAUGGACAUAGCCAGUGUGUUUAUCAGCAGAUUUAUCGCCAUGAUCCCAGUAGAAAGAAAAACAAGCUACUUGGAAACAGUCCGGCAGAGGAGGAACGGGUCCCUGAGGGAAUACGUGGCUAGGUUCAACUGGGAGGCUCUGCAAAUCCUUGAGCUCAAUGAAGCCAGGGCAAUAGAAGUCAAGCAAAAGGGAAGCACCUACCCGAAGUUUUUGGAUCAUUGUGCAGAAAGCCACCUACUACCCUGGCAGAGCUGAUGAAGAGAGUAGAAAAAUACAUAAGGCAGAAGGAUGCCUUAACCACUGGCAGAUUUGCCAGGGAAGCAGGAGACAGGGGAAAGGCUAUGGAGGACAAACGGUUAGACAGACAAGAGAGGAGACAAAAUCAGGGGCUUGAAGCAUUAAACAGACACCAAUGGGAGAGGAAGAAGCAGAGACCCUACCAGCCCCAAAUUCUUGAGGUGAUUACUUCCCUGAAUAUGUUCACAGCUGAGGUGCUAGUAGCUGCCCAAGACAAUGACUUCAUAUAGUGGCUCAAGCCAAUGAGGGCAGACGCGAACAGGAAGGACCCGAAUAACUACUAUUAGUACUACCGGACUAAUGGCCACGACACCAAUGACUGUUAUCAAUUAAUAAAUGAGAGAAAAAGGCUCAUCAAAAGGGGACAUCUCAGAAAUUUUAUAAAAAAGCCAAAAGGUCAGAGACCAUGGCAAAACGCACCGGCGAAAAGGCCCCAAAGACAGAUAGGAGGACCAGUGAAUGACGGCUCCAGCGGAACAAUCAACAUGAUCAUGGAAGGAACUGGGGUUGUAUGAGCAGAAGGGGAAAGAAGAGAAAUAGGAAUGGGGAAGGGAGCAGUGCUGAAAUUACACAAAUAGUGGAGCAUUCCCCAAUAACCAUCUCCUUCUCUCCGGAGGACACCUAGGGAGUGUAGAUGCCCCAUGAUGGCGCUCUGGUCAUAGAAGCCAUCGUUCAAAAAGUUCUAGAUGACGACAGCAAGGUGAACCUACUUCCCUACCAGGUCUUCCAGCAAAUGAACAUACCAAAGCAACAGUUGGUCUUGGACUAAGCCCCAAUUAAGGGAAUAGGAGGGAAUCCAGUGGCAGUGGAGGGGAAGAUAAAGGUAGCCCUCACCUUAGGAGAACCGCCCCUAUCCCGAACUCACUACGUAGUGUUCCUUGUGGUAAAGUUGUCUCUGAGUUAUAAUGCCAUGUUGGGAAGACCAAUGAUGUAUGACUUUGAAGUAGUGACCAACAAUCAGUAUCAAACCAUGAAAUUCCUAACAGAAGUAGGGGUGCGGUAGUUCAGGGAAGAUAGUAGGAAGCUAGAGCUGUAUACCUGACCACGAUAGAGGAGCCAAGCACCUAGCUAGAAGAGAUAAACACUGAAGUCAUAGAGGUCCAGGAUGAAAAGAAAGAGGCUAGGACUGAACCAGUAGUUAAGCUGUAGACCUUCCCACUGUCUGAGGAAGAAAGCGGCAAGGUCUUCAGCAUCAACUCGGGCCUUGAAAAGGACCAAAAGAGGCAGCAAUGGCUCUGAUCAGAGGACAUGCCUCAAGCUUCGCCUGAAAGCCUUCAGACAUGCUAGAGAUCAAUCCUGAGGUGAUGACCCACAAAUUGAACAUUCUUCCUAGGGCCAAGCUGGUAAAGCAGAAGAAGGGGGUGUUUAGGAAGGAGAAGCAAUAGGCCACGAGAGAAGAGGUGCAAAAACUAGAGGAAGCCGAGUUUAUUAGAGAAGUCAUGUACCCACAGUGGUUAGCUAACCCUGUGCUAGUAAAAAAGGCUAAUGAGCAAUAUAAAAUAUGUAUAGACUUCACUAAUUUAAAUCAGACCUGCUCAAAAGAUUAUUAUCCCCUCCCAGAUAUUAAUAAAAUGGUUAACUCUACAGCUAGUUUUGAUUACUUGUCGUCCCUAGAUGCUAUGUCAGGAUACCACCAGAUCCCUAUGGACAGGUCAGAUGAAGAAAAGACCUCUUUCAUAACUGAAGAUGGGACGUACUGCUAUAGGGCUAUGCCUUUUGGGUUGAAAAACACCGGGGCAACAUAUUAGCGGCUAAUGAAUAGGAUCUUUAAGGAUCAAAUAGGAAGAAAUGUGGAGGUCAAACCUUCCAAUAACACUUGGCUGACUUGGAAGAGGUCUUUAGAGUAUUACAGCAGUACAAGAUGAGGUUGAAACCAACAAAGUGUGCUUUCUUUAUUAGAAGGGGAAAAUUUCUAGGCUACAUGGUCAGUAGAAAGGGUAUAGAACCGAACCCAGAGAAAGUAGAGGCUAUACUAACAAUGCCUAAGCCAACUUGUGUAAAGGAUGUACAGAGGCUUACAGGAAGGGUGGUGGCCUUCAACCGAUUCAUGUCCAAAUCAGCAAAAAGAUGUCUGGCUUUCUUCAAAAAGCUAAGGAAGGUCUCAAACUUUGAAUGGAUAGAGGAUUUUUAGUAAGCCUUCAAAAUCUCAAGUAGUACCUCAGCUCCCUGCAUGUGUUUAGCAGCCCCUUAGCAGGAGAGGAACUCUUAAUUUACUUGGCUGCAUCUAAACAGGCAGUGAGUGCCAUGCUGGUAAGAGAGGAAACAGGGGUUCAGAAGCCUACUGACUCGCGGUUAUCGAAGCCGGUCAAAAAUAACCUUUCUGGUUAUCAACAAUCUUACAACUGUAGAUAGUGGUGAAAUAAUCGAAUCCACAGAGAAUUGAUAACUUACCUAUCUUCCUUAUCAAGACUAAGAAAAUAAACUGAAAGAAAAUAACUAAAAGCGAAAUAAACGGAAUGCGAAACAAACUGAAAGCGAAACAAACUGAAAGCGAAUAAAUUGAAAUGAGAUAAAUCUGAAACCAACUAAACUGAAAGUAAAAUUGGGGGUUUUGAGAUUGAUUCAAAAGAUCUAAAACUGAAAGCAAUAAAAGAAGCAAAUAGUAAAAAAAAUAAAGAGAAAUCAAAUAUGAGAAAGAUCUAGUUGAAGAGUUGGAUCCACUUCAGUUAUUGGGAUUGAUCAUUGACACUUAGUUUCCCUUGAUAGAUUCAAUAGAUUAGUUAUGGAGAUGGCAGACGCUUCUCACCACCAUGUCUCUCCUUAAUCAUAAACCAAUUAGGGAACGUCCUCUAAUUAAUUACUAAUCAACAAGUUGCCAAGGAACGUCCUUGGGCCUUAGGCAUCAAAACAACUGUCAAUUUGCAUUAAGAAAUAGAGAGAUCCAAUCCUAGCUACCCAAACGCAUGGAGAUGUUGCUAGAUCAUACAAUUUCCUUAGUUUUUACACCAAGUGUUCUUGUGUUUGAAUAAUCCAAGCAAUUACGGACUCAAAAUUAUUCAGCCUAACACUAUAUUACCUUGCAAUCAAAAAUCAAGUGGCCACAUUGAUCAUAAUAACAAAGCAAUAAUGGAAUCAAGUAUGAAAUUGUAUAAAUAUUGAAUAACCAAAAGAUAAACAACUUAUGUUCAGAUCUCACAAUCCAUAAAACAACCAAAGUUUCAACCAAUCUUCAACUAGAAUAAAAGAUUUCAGCCUAUCAUGGCUGAACCAAAACAGAAAAUAAAAGAAAAGAAAGAAGAAAGAUGAAGAAGAAACCGAUUGGAGAGCUUGGAGAACCUUGCGCCCUUCUUGGCCGAAUGGGGAAC